GUUUCAGACAAUAUAAGCAUCACUGUCGAGAGCUUUUCAGUGAACGAUGAAGAAAAUGUUUUUUAAAUUAGUUUUGCUCUGUUUGUGUUUGUGGCAUCUGGAUGGUGUGUUUGGUGUUGGUGAAAUGAAUUAUGUGACAGUGAAGGAGGGAGAUUCAGUCACUCUAAACUCCAAUCUUACUGAAUUAAUGGAUAAUGAUGUGAUUCUGUGGUGGUUUUUGAUUGAAAACACUUUAAUAGCUGAAAUCAAUGUCACGGCCGACAGAAUCACUGUAUAUGAUGAUGUUCUUGAUGGGAGAUUCAGAGACAGACUGAAGCUGGACAAUCAAACUGGAUCUCUGAAUAUCACAGACGUCACAACUGAAGAUUCUGGACAUUAUUUACUACCGAUAAACCACAUUAGCAUAAUUUUCACUCUCUUUGUCUUUGAAGUGAAGCCAGUGUCAGUGAAGGAGGGAGAUUCAAUCACUCUAGAAUCUGGUCAUACUGAAAUAAUGGAUAAUUAUCAGAUUGUGUGGACGUUUUUAGGUGAAAUCACUGUAAUAGCUGAAAUCAAUAAACGGGACGACAGAAUCACUGUAUAUGAUGAUGUUCUUGAUGGGAGAUUCAGAGACAGACUGAAGCUGGACAAACAAACUGGAUCACUGACCAUCACAAACAUCAAAACUGAAGAUUCUGAAUAUUAUUCAGUAAUGAUUAAAGGAGCAAACCCGUCACUAAAAUUAUACAGUGUUUCUGUCUAUGGUGAGUGGAAAUAAUUGGUCCUGUCCUUCAAAUAUUCUUGAUAUUAAUGGUUAUUGAUGUUUAUGUGGAAACAAUAGUGUCUGGAUCUUGGCUGAAUGGAGUUGUAAGUUUGUUGGUCUUGUCUUGUUCUACCAGAAAUUGGUC